rnacentral:misc_RNA from 1 species
AAGUCGUAACAAGGUAACCGUAGGUGAACCUGCGGUUGGAUCAUUAAAGAUUCUUUUUUCUCCCUUUUAGGGAGGAAUACCCCACACCUUUUGUGAACCCCCCAUUACCUUUUGGGGUUUGGGGGUUUUUUCUUUGUUUCUUUCCCUUCGGGGGAGAAGUGAGAAAACACCUUUAUUAUGUAUCAUUGGUUUUUUAUUGACUUAAAAAUCUUUUUUAACGAGAGAAACAACUUUAGACAACGGAUCUCUUGGCUCUC